UUGUCAAACGCGCACUUUAUUAAAGUGGCACCGGCUCCCCGGUAACGGGCUCAAUAAGCCGGGAGUGAAGGGACUAGUCCGUAGCUGACCACCCGCGUUAAAUUAAUUCUAUUAGAAUCAAUCUAAUUUCUAUACGACGCCAACCCCUCUAAAGUCAUCCGACGCGCGAGCCGAGUAACUCAAUUCGAGGCAAGUCGUCGAUAUGACCGCGCCGUAAUGAUGGCUCCCUUCGGUUGUUUGAUGCUGGUAUUACUUUACGGAUAUUUUUUAGGUGCCUUUGUUAAGGCCUCAGGGAUUCGUUUGUCUAGCGCACCCUAGCACUAGUUUUGUCGAAAUAACUUUUGAUAUGGCCCCGCUCUACUUGGUCGCCCAAGCAGCCAGC